rnacentral:rRNA from 1 species
CGUGCUUAACACAUGCAAGUCGAACGAUGAAGCCCUUCGGGGUGGAUUAGUGGCGAACGGGUGAGUAACACGUGGGCAAUCUGCCCUUCACUCUGGGACAAGCCCUGGAAACGGGGUCUAAUACCGGAUAACACUUCCACUCGCAUGGGUGGGGGUUGAAAGCUCCGGCGGUGAAGGAUGAGCCCGCGGCCUAUCAGCUUGUUGGUGAGGUAGAAGCUCACCAAGGCGACGACGGGUAGCCGGCCUGAGAGGGCGACCGGCCACACUGGGACUGAGACACGGCCCAGACUCCUACGGGAGGCAGCAGUGGGGAAUAUUGCACAAUGGGCGAAAGCCUGAUGCAGCGACGCCGCGUGAGGGAUGACGGCCUUCGGGUUGUAAACCUCUUUCAGCAGGGAAGAAGCGAAAGUGACGGUACCUGCAGAAGAAGCGCCGGCUAACUACGUGCCAGCAGCCGCGGUAAUACGUAGGGCGCAAGCGUUGUCCGGAAUUAUUGGGCGUAAAGAGCUCGUAGGCGGUCUGUCACGUCGGAUGUGAAAGCCCGGGGCUUAACCCCGGGUCUGCAUUCGAUACGGGCAGACUAGAGUGUGGUAGGGGAGAUCGGAAUUCCUGGUGUAGCGGUGAAAUGCGCAGAUAUCAGGAGGAACACCGGUGGCGAAGGCGGAUCUCUGGGCCAUUACUGACGCUGAGGAGCGAAAGCGUGGGGAGCGAACAGGAUUAGAUACCCUGGUAGUCCACGCCGUAAACGGUGGGAACUAGGUGUUGGCG